CCGCACUUCUAAUCAAUCCCUUUUACCAAGUCCCAUUAGCGACCCUGUUUACAUAUUCACCAAAUUUAAUGGGACCCUGUUUACAUAUUCACCAAAUUUGCUUUUAUUAAUGCUGAAACAAUCAUGCAGAACGGACUAACAGAAACAACCGUACUUCGGAAUGCCACCCUCUCACAAGAAUGGAGCUGCGUUCGACGCUCGAGAAUAAAUUUAACCAACACUAGAUACAACCAAAUACAACCAAGAUCUUCAUUUUAAGUCCAAGCACGCAUCACACCAGGCUGUACAACCAAACCUCAAUUCUUAACUAAAACAAACAAGCUCCAGAAAAACCAUCAUGAAACAAAACAUAAACCUUGCUAGUAGCUCUCCUCUAUAGAUCAGGGCAUGUAAGAGAAUCACACAACCGAAAGAUCGAGGCCGAAAAAUGUCUACACGACGUCAAACGGAGAAGCCUUGGCUGAUCAUAGAACUUUAAACAACCCGGGCACGUUCCUGCAACCCUCAUGGAGCGCUCCUACAGAGAGAACACGAGGCUGAUACAAGCCUCAAAUUAAUAUUAAAAUCAUGCAGAGCCCCGAACAAGGCACGCGAUAUCGUCAAUCACAGCUUCUCAAAUUGCAGGAAUUUAAUUAGAGAAUGCGAUGCUAACUCCAGUACUUUUUUUUUUUCAUUCCAUAAUACUGCUUUUGUACUCGUCACCACCACUACCAGGUGAAAUCAGAAAGAACAGA
rnacentral:lncRNA from 1 species